rnacentral:Y_RNA from 1 species
GGCUGGUCCAAGUACAGUGUUGUUUACAACUUAUUGAUCACAAUCAGGUACAGAUUUCUUUGCUCCUUCUCCUCUCCCGCUGCUUCUUUUGACUAGCCUUAA